rnacentral:rRNA from 1 species
GACGAACGCUGGCGGCGUGCUUAACACAUGCAAGUCGAACGGAAAGGCCCUGCUUUUGUGGGGUGCUCGAGUGGCGAACGGGUAAGUAACACGUGAGUAACCUGCCCUUGACUUUGGGAUAACUUCAGGAAACUGGGGCUAAUACCGGAUAGGAGCUCCUGCUGCAUGGUGGGGGUUGGAAAGUUUCGGCGGUUGGGGAUGGACUCGCGGCUUAUCAGCUUGUUGGUGGGGUAGUGGCUUACCAAGGCUUUGACGGGUAGCCGGCCUGAGAGGGUGACCGGCCACAUUGGGACUGAGAUACGGCCCAGACUCCUACGGGAGGCAGCAGUGGGAAAUAUUGCACAAUGGGCGGAAGCCUGAUGCAGCAACGCCGCGUGCGGGAUGACGGCCUUCGGGUUGUAAACCGCUUUCGCCUGUGACGAAGCGUGAGUGACGGUAAUGGGUAAAGAAGCACCGGCUAACUACGUG